CGGAGGGUGCAAGCGUUAAUCGGAAUUACUGGGCGUAAAGCGCACGCAGGCGGUCUGUCAAGUCGGAUGUGAAAUCCCCGGGCUCAACCUGGGAACUGCAUUCGAAACUGGCAGGCUAGAGUCUUGUAGAGGGGGGUAGAAUUCCAGGUGUAGCGGUGAAAUGCGUAGAGAUCUGGAGGAAUACCGGUGGCGAAGGCGGCCCCCCUGGACAAAGACUGACGCUCAGGUGCGAAAAGCGUGGGGGAGCAAAACAGGAUU
rnacentral:rRNA from 1 species